rnacentral:rRNA from 1 species
AUGCCUAGGAUCUGCCUGGUAGUGGGGGAUAACGUCCGGAAACGGACGCUAAUACCGCAUAMGUCCUACGGGAGAAAGCAGGGGACCUUCGGGCCUUGCGCUAUCAGAUGAGCCUAGGUCGGAUUAGCUAGUUGGUGGGGUAAUGGCUCACCAAGGCGACGAUCCGUAACUGGUCUGAGAGGAUGAUCAGUCACACUGGAACUGAGACACGGUCCAGACUCCUACGGGAGGCAGCAGUGGGGAAUAUUGGACAAUGGGCGAAAGCCUGAUCCAGCCAUGCCGCGUGUGUGAAGAAGGUCUUCGGAUUGUAAAGCACUUUAAGUUGGGAGGAAGGGCAGUAAAUUAAUACUUUGCUGUUUUGACGUUACCGACAGAAUAAGCACCGGCUAACUCUGUGCCAGCAGCCGCGGUAAUACAGAGGGUGCAAGCGUUAAUCGGAAUUACUGGGCGUAAAGCGCGCGUAGGUGGUUCGUUAAGUUGGAUGUGAAAUCCCCGGGCUCAACCUGGGAACUGCAUUCAAAACUGACGAGCUAGAGUAUGGUAGAGGGUGGUGGAAUUUCCUGUGUAGCGGUGAAAUGCGUAGAUAUAGGAAGGAACACCAGUGGCGAAAGCGACCACCUGGACUGAUACUGACACUGAG